AGUACACGCGGCGCUAGAGUGAGGCAAGGUACGCCUCCGCACGCCGCCGCCACCACAGCACAAGAUCGUGGUGGUAAAAGAACAGCAUGAAAUUGUAAACAGUUAUUUUCGGAAAUAGAAAAAAAAAUCAGAAAGGAUUUUUUUUUAGUAUCGGAAAAAAAAGGAGCAAAGAGUGAUUUCAGAGAAAUACUGUGAGUGAUUUAAGUGCCUCCCAUAUAUCCUUCCCUUUAAGAUAUAUUUAGAAAGGAAAAGAAAAUUGAAAGCAAAGCAGAGUCGAGAGAGGGAGAGAAUAAUAGAUCUAUU